AACCCGGCCUACAUGAAGCUGGAAUCGCUAGUAAUCGCAGAUCAGAAUGCUGCGGUGAAUACGUUCCCGGGUCUUGUACACACCGCCCGUCACACCAUGGGAGCCGGGAAUGCCCGAAGUCGGUGACCCAACCGUAAGGAGGGAGCCGCCGAAGGCAGGCCUGGUAACUGGGGUGAAGUCGUAACAAGGUAUC
rnacentral:rRNA from 1 species